CGCCCCUCUGAUCCGCUUCUUCAAUGGGUUUUGAGAAGGAGGUGAGGAGAGAGGACGCAAGGAGUAAACAAUUCUCCCCUUAACUUCUUCCUUCCUCCAUCCUUGAUUGAUUUGUUCUCUCAACAAAGACAAAGCUGAACGUGAUCAAUCAAUGAGCCAGUGAUUGAAUGGCAAUUGCAGGUUCAGGCAAUAAAUAUACUCCCAGCUAGUAUGGCAACUGAGCAAGGCAGUAAAUCACAGUGGGUUUAAGUGUUCCAUUUGGAAACUAUAGUGGUGGCUUGUCUGUUGGUACUUAGAUAUGGCUUUUGGAAUUAAUUUGUGGAUCGUGUUGCUUUGCUCCAUAUUCUCAGAACAUUUAAGAUCUACUUGUGCUCCACAUGAUGCCCAGAGAUUAAGAGGCUACAUGUAUUCUGGCUCUUCCCAAGUGGAAGAUGAACAGAAACAACCAGGUGACGGCUAUCCUCAGGAUCCAAUCAAACCAACUUUUAGUACUUCAGGAUCUGUCCAGAGUGAUGCUACUCCCAGAGAGACUGGCCCCAACACCCAUAACCAGGAACUAUCCCGCAGAGGCUCUGCUUCAAGCUCUAUCCAGCCUGCCCCAAGAAUGUUAGGCCUCUCUGGAUCUAUAGCCAGUAGAACCUCUGUCAGCCACAACAAGCGUCACACCCGUGCCAGUAUAACCUCAGGCCAAAGUGUCACCAACCCUAGUGCAGUGAAGAUGGUUUCAAAUUGGGAAGCAAAGGGAAUCCAGCCCAAAACCUUUCCAUUACAGCCUCAUUCAAGCAACUCUGGAUCUGUUCAGAAUUUCCUGGGAAGCCAUUUAUUCAAAGCAAACCCCCAGAAUUCUGUGGCACAAAGUGGAAUCUACCAGUCCGUAAGGGAAAUGGCUUCCACCCCUUACCUUCAAGCUCCCUCACGUGGUUCUUCAGGAACUUCACUUAGACCAGGUCCUCUGCAUUUUGGGUCUACUGAAGGUGGGAGUGCAACAAAUGCAUACAAGCCCAGCUUCUCUCAAUAUGUCAAGCCAUACCAGAGUAGAUAUGCCUCCGCCAGUAGUGGUUCAACUUCUAGUCAAUAUGCCCAGAGUAUAGAUGUUGCCUCCAAAAGCAGCAGUAUCCCUAUACUUAGCCUGGGGUCUAGCUCCAGUCUCUUUGCCCCGAGUUCUACGCCUAGUAAAAACUCCUAUGGAACCUACAAGCCUGGCUCUACCCUUGGUGCAACACCACGCCAGAGCAUGUUUACCGCUAACCAGGGUGGCAGUGCUUCAAUCUACAGCCAGAAUGCCCUUGCCGCCAACCAGAAGCCAGGUAGCACUACACCUGCCGACAGCAACCACAGGCAAGUCUCUGGUCAGGUGGGGGACUACCAGCCUAGUUAUGUUGCCAGUAGUGGGCCAAUCUCCAUCCUUUCCAGUUCUAACCAGGGUGGCAGUGCUUCAACCUAUGUCCAGAAACCAAGCAACUCUAAACCUGCCCCCAGGCAAAGCUAUCAGCGCAGCUAUACUCCCAAUGCAUUGAAGUCUAUCCCUAGCUAUGCCAGAGGACCUACCCAGAGCAGGACCAGCAGUACCACACCUCAAAGCGUUGUUCUGGUCUACAUCUACAACAUCCCAGCACGCUACGGUGGCACUCAUAUCCGUCGGCUCAAAGACCGUAUUCAUAGUGGGCGUAGUGCCUCCACUAGCCACUCCAAAACCAGCUCAAGUGUUAACAAGCCACAGCAAAACCACACUCCACCUGCCAAACAGGAGGGUCCCAGCACUCCCUACGUCCAAGUCUCACACUCUACUAGAUGGGAGCCCAGAACAUGACUAAGUGAGAGCUGUAACCACCAGUUGAG
ensembl:lncRNA